rnacentral:rRNA from 1 species
CCUUACCUACCCUUGACAUGUCUGGAAUGCCGAAGAGAUUUGGCAGUGCUCGCAAGAGAACCGGAACACAGGUGCUGCAUGGCUGUCGUCAGCUCGUGUCGUGAGAUGUUGGGUUAAGUCCCGCAACGAGCGCAACCCUUGUCAUUAGUUGCUACGAAAGGGCACUCUAAUGAGACUGCCGGUGACAAACCGGAGGAAGGUGGGGAUGACGUCAAGUCCUCAUGGCCCUUAUGGGUAGGGCUUCACACGUCAUACAAUGGUCGGGACAGAGGGUCGCCAACCCGCGAGGGGGAGCCAAUCCCAGAAACCCGAUCGUAGUCCGGAUCGCAGUCUGCAACUCGACUGCGUGAAGUCGGAAUCGCUAGUAAUCGCGGAUCAGCAU